AGGAAGGUGGGGAUGACGUCAAGUCCUCAUGGCCUUUAUGACCAGGGCUACACACGUACUACAAUGGCCGAUACAAAGGGCAGCGACACUGCGAGGUGAAGCCAAUCCCGUAAAAUCGGUCUCAGUCCGGAUUGGAGUCUGCAACUCGACUCCAUGAAGUUGGAAUCGCUAGUAAUCGUGGAUCAGCAUGCCACGGUGAAUACGUUCCCGGGCCUU
rnacentral:rRNA from 1 species